UACGUAGGUGGCAAGCGUUGUCCGGAUUGACUGGGCGUAAAGGGCGUGUAGGCGGCUGUCUAAGUCUGGAGUGAAAGUCCUGCUUUCAAGGUGGGAAUUGCUUUGGAGACUGGAUGGCUUGAGUGCGGAAGAGGUAAGUGGAAUUCCCAGUGUAGCGGUGAAAUGCGUAGAGAUUGGGAGGAACACCAGUGGCGAAGGCGACUUACUGGGCCGUAACUGACGCUGAGGCGCGAAAGCGUGGGGAGCGAAC
rnacentral:rRNA from 1 species